rnacentral:rRNA from 1 species
UACGUAGGGUGCGAGCGUUAAUCGGAAUUACUGGGCGUAAAGCGUGCGCAGGCGGUUCGUGAUGUCUGAUGUGAAAGCCCCGGGCUCAACCCGGGAAGUGCAUCUGAUACUGGAUAGCUUGAGUACUGGAGAGGGUAGUGGAAUUCCUGGUGUAGUGGUGAAAUACGUAGAUAUCAGGAGGAACACCUGUGGGCGAAGGCGGCUACCUGGCCAUGUACUGACGCUGAGAUGCGAAAGCGUGGGGAGCAAACAGG